AAUGAGAAUCAGAUACUUGGCUUAAUAGUUUUCAUUUAAAAUGUCUAAUUUGGAUAUAAUUCGGAAUAAAAAACGAAACUUAAAAGGUAUUGAAAACAACAACGUUCUAAAGAACAAUGUGGAUUUCAAUAGAAAGACUAUUUCCACCGACAAUCAGGAUUUCCGGUAUGACCACUGUUAUUUUGACGAUUUUUCUAUCGGUUCGUCGGUAAGCGUGACCACAUGUGACAACAGCGAUGCUAGUUGGAUAUAAAAUUGGUAGACGUGUCGUUGAACUCGACACAUUGACCGAAUCGCUUUUAGCAUGCAGUGCUUGUCAAGUGCCCAUGAAUUUACUUAACACUGUAGAAAGCAGGGAUUUCGGACAGGCAUGUGUUUUGGACAUACAGUUUAGCAAUUGUGGUGCAGUAAAUAAUGUGGCUACUGGACGGAAACAUGGCAGAGUUUAUGACAUGAUCACAAAGCUUGCAUUUGGGUAAAUCAAAAACUGGGUGUUUCACCUUGGACUUUCACAUCGAAACUGGCCCUUCUCCAUGACCUUCAGCACAAAAAAAGAAAGGCUAUAACUGUUACUUGUGCAGCAAAACAGUGACGCAUAAGACUUAAAACUCGAACGGCAUUCAAAGGACAGUGCAAGAAGUACGAGCGGGACCAACAUACAGUUCAAACAUAGAGGACCAAGACGUUGAAGUUACAACUAUACCCCCACCUAUACCCAAGCCUGGUCCAGCAGGGCUAGACACUACUGGGAAGGAAUUUGUUUUCUUUGAUUUGGAAACAAGAGGGUUAGAGCACACUUCUCACAUAAUUCAGAUAGCUGCAGUGCAUUCAACUGGUCAGAAGAUUUCCUUGCAAGC